rnacentral:rRNA from 1 species
CUCCCGCCGGCGACCGGCGCACAGGUGAGUAACACGUAUGAAACCUGCCCGUAGCAGGGGGAUAAGCGGAAGAAAUUCCGUCUAAUACCGCGUAACAACCCGAGGAGGCAUCUCCUCGGGUUUAAAGGAAGCGAUUCCGGCUACGGAUGGUCAUGCGUCGCAUUAGCUAGUUGGCGGGGUAACGGCCCACCAAGGCGACGAUGCGUAGGGGUUCUGAGAGGAAGGUCCCCCACACUGGUACUGAGACACGGACCAGACUCCUACGGGAGGCAGCAG